UGAUUACCUGCUCUGGAGGGAGCUGGCUGCUAUGUCAUGAAAACACUUAAGCAUCCCAGUGGAAGAGGCCAUGCUUGAGGAACCAAGGCUCCUGCCAUAGCCAUAGCACUUAACGAAAUGUAUAACUACAAGUCGAUUGGAAUGGUUAUUUUUGAGGGUGUUCAAUGGCCACUGUUUGCUCAAGGAGAAUGUAAACAGGACUUGCUGACGCCUGCGGUCAAUGGGCCUGCCUCCUAAGCCAUUUCCAAUCUGGCAUGAGUGUGGAUAUAAUGGGAAAGAAGCUGAACAGGGAAGAAGGGCAGGUAACUCUAUUUUGUGUUUCCAAUGUAUUUUCUAUUUCAAUACUCAAAGCAAUCCUUUCUGAGGUAGGUGUUAUUUUGAUACCCAUUCUACAAAUCCAAAAACCAUGUGGUAAGUAACAGGACUAAAACCCUGGUAGGUUGAGCUCCAUAGCUUUCCACUACCCUAAGCUUACUCUUUGCGGUAAGACCUUUUGCUUAGGCAAAUAUUGGUUAUUCAAACAAGACCAAAGGCAAAAUUCGUACGCAAGUUCAAGUUCUCAAGUAUCAAUAUUCUUC